GGACCAUCAUGUAGUGUGAGGAGUCAACAUUUCACACUAGAAAGCCCUUGGUUCAAGUUUUGUCUCUGCCACCUACAGAUUUUGUAACCCUGAGUAAAAGUUGUCCAGCCUUUCUAUUUUACAACUGAGGCUUCAAAAGAUAAAAGAGAUCCAUGCUGAAGGGAGAGGAAAAGAAGAAGACCCCAAGGACCACAGGCCUGGGCCUGUGUUAUCCCAAUGCCAUCAUCUCAGGAUACGAUGGGAGCUGCUAGGUGUAGAGAUGGCUCUUCUUUGAAGAAACCCCCAUGAAAUGGUUUCAGGGGAGGUCACUGUGGUUAUAUCCCAGAAGAUUUGCCCUGCAAGUGAAACAGAAGCUUCUCAUGGAGAUGUGGAGGGGGCUGCCCCGCUGUGUCAGAAAGUGGAGACUCUAUGGAACCAACCCCAUUAUACUGAGAUAGGGUUGAGGCUGCUGAUGGGUCUUUACCUAUUGUAGCUUCCAUUUGUAUGGUAGGCAGCCGCUAAGAUGGCCCCAGAUAUCACUGCCUUGUGAUAGUCCUGUCUUUGUGUAAUCCACUCCCCAUGAGUGUGGGCUGGAUCUACUGGCUCUCUUCUGCUAAACAGAUGAUCGAAAAAGUGAUGAAAUGUCACUUCUAAAAUUAGGUUACACAGAGAAUGUGGUUUCUUUUUUGCUCACUCCCUCUUACUCAGGGAAACUAGCUACCUCUUUAUGUACUGCCCUAUGGAGAGGCACACAUGUCAAGAAACUGAGGGAGUGCCUUCCAGUCAACAGCCAGCCAGGAACUAAGGUGCUCAGUACAGCAGCCUCCACAAAGGACUGAACAAUGCCAACAGCUAUUUGACUGUGCUUGGAAGAUCUCCGUUUAGUUAACCCUUCAGAUGAGACCGCAGCCCUGGCCAGCAAACAAAUUGCAGCCUAUGGAAAGACCUUAAGGCAGAAGCACCCAACUGAACCACCCGAGGGCUCUGACUUACAGAAACUGUGAGCAUGAGAUCAUUUGUACAAAUCUUGAAACCAAAGCACAGCCUGUAUGAACCCAUGUUGAACCCUGGACUUUCAGGACUACUGUAUGGCUAACCACAGCCCUGCAAGGCCAGGCUCAGCAUGUCACAGUUUUGCCACUGAACAAGAAUCUUUCGAAGGAUCGCAAAUACUACAUGGAAAAUGACUGUAUUCUUUCUGCAAGGCCACUCUCUUAGACAUCACCCUAACAAAAACAAUUACGGGUUGGAAGAGGAGAAAGGAUGCAAAGUUUGUGCCUUGACCUAAAAAAGGUCAUGAGCACCUCUACCGGUUCUUGGAAACAUUAGUUGCAGUGGAUCUCAAAUUCUAUUGCGCAAAAGAACGACCUGGUGACCCUCUAAAAGUGUAGAUUCUCUGGUUUCACCCCUAGACCUUGUGACUCACAUGUCCAGUGAGGCCAGGAACUCCUCACUGUUAACCUGUGCCCUAUUUUAACAAGCCCUGCUGGGAGUCGGGAUGUUGGGGGUCCCCACACCACACUGAAAUAGAGGAAUUCCCUGCUCAAAGAUCCCGUUAUGUCCUGAUUACAAUCUGCAAUGAGAUUAUGAAAUCAUUAAAUCAUGAUUAAGCCAA
ensembl:lncRNA LINC01229 long intergenic non-protein coding RNA 1229